CCCUUAGAUGUCCUGGGCCGCACGCGCGUUACACUGAUGCAUUCAACGAGCUUAUAACCUUGGCCGAGAGGCCUGGGCAAUCUUGUUAACGUGCAUCGUGAUAGGGAUAGAUUAUUGAAAUUAUUAAUCUUGAACGAGGAAUUCCUAGUAAACGCAGAUCAUCAAUCUGCAUUGAUUACGUCCCUGCCCUUUGUACACACCGCCCGUCGCUCCUACCGAUUGAAUGGUCCGGUGAAAUGUUCGGACCGCGACAAGGCGGACGGUUCGCUGUCAGCUUUGCUGCGGGAAGUUCAUUAAACCUUAUCAUUUAGAGGAAGGAGAAGUCGUANCA
rnacentral:rRNA from 1 species